GCCUGGGUGGCUCAGUGGUUGAGCACCUGCCCCUGGCUCAGGGCAUGAUCUGCAGUCUCAGGAUCAAGUCCUGCAUCAGGCU
rnacentral:tRNA from 1 species